UACAGAGGGGGCAAGCGUUGUUCGGAAUUACUGGGCGUAAAGGGCGCGUAGGCGGCCUGUUAAGUCGAACGUGAAAUCCCCGGGCUCAACCCGGGAACUGCGUCCGAUACUGGCAGGCUUGAAUUCGGGAGAGGGAUGUGGAAUUCCAGGUGUAGCGGUGAAAUGCGUAGAUAUCUGGAGGAACACCGGUGGCGAAGGCGGCAUCCUGGACCGAUAUUGACGCUGAUGCGCGAAAGCUAGGGGAGCAAACGGG
rnacentral:rRNA from 1 species